UGAUUUCUGUAACAUCGUCCAUGUUGAGUGUGCGUCGGUAAUGCGCUUCGUGCCUCGUGGUUGGCUUCUCCGGGGACACAUGUCGUACCUGUAAGCCAUGUCGCACUAACCGACCUCUGGAUGAGCAAGCCAAAACGCGCUGUUGCGUCCCAGUGCGGCCGUUAGAGGCGCGCCGAGUUCCGCCUGCAGACGCGGCUGCCUUGGAGUUUGUUUGUUGGAGAUUUCAGCACUUGGAACUCACCUUUUCUAUUCUUUUACAAGUUCUUUAGAGAUUCAAUGCGCCUUAGAGCGGAGCCUUGCGCGCCCGAGUAACCAAAGCGGUUCACUUCUUUACGUCGACAUCUACACUGACAGAUCGCCAAUUAGCAAGAAGGUGACACCCUGCUGGCCAGGAGAUAUCCGAAGUGGAGCAGCCGGCUGCGUGGAGACAUCACAGACUGUUGUCCAUGUUGCUCGCAUUUGGCACCUGUGGCCUGACAAGAGCGUGCGGCAGUGGAUUCUGUUCACCUCGCUGCUCCAGUAGCCAGAGCGGAAGGCAAUGGAAAGAUUGCAACGGUGCACAUCACAUCUUCGAUGCGCUCACCUUGCUGGUUUGAAUCGUGUAGUGGACUCCCUGCUGCCUCCCCCGCUUGACCUGGUGGCGACGCACGGAAG